rnacentral:rRNA from 1 species
GAUGAACGCUAGCGGCAGGCUUAAUACAUGCAAGUCGAGGGGCAGCAGGGGUGUAGCAAUACACUCGCUGGCGACCGGCAAACGGGUGCGGAACACGUACGCAAUCUACCCAAAACUGGUGAAUAGCCCUCCGAAAGGAGGAUUAAUACACCGUAACGUAAGAGAGUGGCAUCACUUUGUUACUAUAGCUCCGGCGGUUUUGGAUGAGCGUGCGCCUGAUUAGGUAGUUGGCGGGGUAACGGGCCCGACCCAAGCCAGCGAUCAGUAACUAGGUGUGAGAGCACGACCAGUCACACGGGCGACUGAGACACGGGCCCGGACCUCCUACCGGGAGGC